UACAGAGGAUGCAAGCGUUAUCCGGAAUGAUUGGGCGUAAAGCGUCUGUAGGUGGCUUUUUAAGUCCGCCGUCAAAUCCCCGGGCUCAACCUGGGAAUGGCAUUUGAUACUCUGAGGCUGGAGUACGGGAGAGGAGAGUGGAAUUCCCAGUGUAGAGGUGAAAUUCGUAGAUAUUGGGAAGAACACCGGUGGCGAAGGCGGCUCUCUGGACCGUAACUGACGCUGAGGCGCGAAAGCGUGGGGAGCAAACAGG
rnacentral:rRNA from 1 species